rnacentral:rRNA from 1 species
GACGAACGCUGGCGGCGUGCUUAACACAUGCAAGUCGAACGGAAAGGCCCUGCUUUUGUGGGGUGCUCGAGUGGCGAACGGGUGAGUAACACGUGAGUAACCUGCCCUUGACUUUGGGAUAACUUCAGGAAACUGGGGCUAAUACCGGAUAGGAGCUCCUGCUGCAUGGUGGGGGUUGGAAAGUUUCGGCGGUUGGGGAUGGACUCGCGGCUUAUCAGCUUGUUGGUGGGGUAGUGGCUUACCAAGGCUUUGACGGGUAGCCGGCCUGAGAGGGUGACCGGCCACAUGGGGACUGCGGUACGGCCCAGACUCCUACGGGAGGCAGCAGUGGGGAAUAUUGCACAAUGGGCGGAAGCCUGAUGAAGCAACGCCGCGUGCGGGAUGACGGCCUUCGGGUUGUAAACCGCUUUCGCCUGUGACGAAGCGUGAGUGACGGUAAUGGGUAAAGAAGCACCGGCUAACUACGUG